rnacentral:rRNA from 1 species
UACCAGCACCCCGAGUGGUCGGGACGAUUAUUGGGCCUAAAGCAUCCGUAGCCGGUCCUGCAAGUCUUCCGUUAAAUCCAGCUGCUCAACAGAUGGGCUGCGGGAGAUACUACAGGGCUAGGAGGCGGGAGAGGCAAGCGGUACUUUAUGGGUAGGGGGUAAAAUCCGCUGAUCCAUAGAAGACCACCAGUGGCGAAGGCGGCUUGCCAGAACGCGCUCGACGGUGAGGGAUGAAAGCUGGGGGAGCAAACCGG